UACGUAGGGCGCAAGCGUUGUCCGGAAUUAUUGGGCGUAAAGAGCUCGUAGGCGGUUUGUCGCGUCUGCUGUGAAAACCUAAGGCUCAACCUUGGGCUUGCAGUGGGUACGGGCAGACUAGAGUGCGGUAGGGGUGACUGGAAUUCCUGGUGUAGCGGUGGAAUGCGCAGAUAUCAGGAGGAACACCGAUGGCGAAGGCAGGUCACUGGGCCGCAACUGACGCCUGGAGGAGCGAAAGCAUGGGGAGCGAACAGG
rnacentral:rRNA from 1 species